CAUUCACACUAAAGGUCCUCAUCCGUAUCAGUCACUGAGGUGGAACGAGCAAGAGUUACAGUCAUCAUACUUGUGUGUGUUUUGUUCUGUGAACAGCAGAGAGUCUUUGGGGCAGAAAUGGACAUGAGAGUUAAAGCAGGAGACAGCAUCACUCUCUACGGUGACUGUGUCUUACCAUUAGGAUCACUGAUUGUUUGGUUGAGAAACUGCUCACAUGAGCAUCAACCAUCUCUGUUAAUAGAGACUAAAAACCUGUUCAAGGGGACAUUUCCACAUUUUAGUUUCGUGCUCAACAGCUCCAGUAACUCCUAUGAUCUACAUAUUACAAACUUCAGUGUCUCUGAUGAGGGAAUAUACUACUGUGCAAAGAGAGAAAAUAAAAGAAGUAAAGAUGUACACGGCAUCAUAAAUGUCAAAUCUGAGUACGAGUAUGGAAACUUGACAACUCGUCUAUCUGUCUUGGAGCCAGUGUGUCCUGGUUCUGAGCGGUUCAACACCUUCUCCACACUUCCUUCAUCAGACUGUGUGCUCUGCUGGAAGCUGCUGUUCAGUGUGUGUCCAGUGUGUGUUCUCCUCUCUUCACUCCUGUCCUCCGUCUGUGUGUUCUGCUUUUGUCGGGCUCAAAGUACAGGUAACCCAUUCACACAUUAGAAAAAUAUUUCACUUAAAAAGAAAAUGUGCGGAGAGUGUACUUAUCCUCAGGAUGGUGUAGAUGUAGAUGAGUUUUUGUCUUCAUAGUGGACAAAUUUAGCAUUACAUCACUUGCUCACCAGUGGAUCCUUUGCAGUGAAUAAGCGCAAUAAGCAAGAAAAAUGUUUUUAGACUCCAUCCAUAAUAUUGGAAAUUAUUUGGGUGAACUAUUCAUUUAACAUUCAUUUUUAUAGAAAAUGAAUGUGUUAAAGCAACUUAUUGAAAAUUUAAAUGAUUAAAAUAAGGAGUAGCUGUGCUGAAAUAUAAGCGACUAUAAAGCAUAAAGCAUAUUUAACUAUAUAUUUGUUAAAAGUUGUGAAAGUGGUUCAAUGUAGGCCUGUGUUAAAAAUCAUAUGGUUGAAGUUUCAGUAUCGACCUGCAUCGAUUUUCAACAGCCAGAAUUAUACAUUUUCAGACUUUCAUUGCAUGUUUUUUAGGUCCUGACCUGAGUGCUGAGAUACUCAAAGCAAAUGUUUUUCAGUGGGAUCCUCUGGAGAAUCAUCAGUGUGAGAUGAGUAAGACUGGAAAGAUCUGUCUCCACACUGAAGUCUCUUAUAGACUCCUGACAUCUGCACAG